rnacentral:tRNA from 2 species
UCCCCGAUAGCUCAACGGCAGAGCAGCCGGCUGUUAACCGGCAGGUUGUUGGUUCGAAUCCAACUCGGGGAGCCA